CUGCUGUAGCCCCUACGUGGUGAGUAGAUCGUCUCCACAGAAAUCAGCGGAGGCUUCCACAGUCCCUGGUUGGAAUGGAACCGGCGGUGAGGAUGAGAGGCGCUGAAGACCAGAAGACCCAGGGCGUGAACGGGGCGUGUCAUCCCUGGAGUUUCAGUAGAAUUUCAGGCCUGUCUGCUUGAGCAGCAGAGGAGGAGUUUCUGUGUGCCUGUGAGAGACUGUGUGUGUGUGUGUGUGUGUGUGUGUGUGUGAGAUGAAUGAACAGGGUUGUGUACGUGUGUGUGCGUUAGACAAAUGAACAGUGUUGUGUACCUGUGUGAAUUGUCACUGUGACUCCAGGCUCUAGGCUCUGCAGAUUCCUCAGCCCUAUCGCCUCACAGACACUUGGGAUGUGCAGCAGGUAAAAGAGAGAAGCCAGAUUCAUGGAGGCGUGAAGGAUCCCAGCAAGAAAACACAGACUUGAUCUUGAGACGAGAUUUUUGAAAUUGGUUGCGGCCUCAAGGCAGGCUCUGAGAAGACUCGAUAAAGAGUUCUCAGGAAUAGGCAUCCCUCCUGGAUAUUUCCCCCUUGGAAGCGCCGAGGAGCCAGCUCUAUGUUUGUAACCAUAGCAUUUCUAAAGCUCCAGCCCCAGGAACCUGCUGUGAAUUAGAGACAGAUUCCACCCUAGGCAUCACUGAUCUUGGCCUCUCUUGUAUUGGGAAGGUCAACACUGUUCCAGUUUCUCUCCUACUCCCAUCUGGUUGUGCUCGGUGAAGUAGUGCUACCCUUCUGUUAAAAAAAAAAAAAAAAAAAAGAUCCUGAAAGAGGAAAGAAUUUUUGCUACACAUCUGAAAGCUAAAGUCCAGACUUGGAACCAACCCAAAUGCCCAUCAGUGAUAGACUGGAUAAAGAAAAUAUGGCACAUAUACACCAUGGAAUACUAUGCAACCAUAAAAAAGAAUGAAAUCAUGUCCUCUGCAAGGACAUGGAUGAAGCUGGAAGCCAUCAUUCUCAGCAAACUAAUGCAGAAACUGAAAACCAAGCACCACAUGUUCUCACUCAUAAGUGGGGGUUGAACAAUGAGAACACAUGGCACAGGGAAAGGAACAACACACACUGGAGCCUGUCGGGGAGUUGGGGGGCAAGGGGAGGGAGAGCACUGGACAAAUUACCUAAUGCAUGUGGGGCUUAAAACCUAAAUGUCAGAUUGAUAGGUACAGCAAACCACCAUGACACAUAUAUACCUAUGUAAAAAACCUACACAUCUGCACCUGUAUCCCAGAACUUAAAGUAAAAUAAAAAUGAAUUAAUUAAUUUUGAAGAAAAAGAAACCAAUAAUCCAAUUUAAAAAUGGGCAAGGACUUGAAUAGACUUUUUUCCAAAGAUGACACGCAAAUGGUUAAGUGGUACCUGAAAAGCACAUCAGACAAAUGCAAAUGAAACCACAAUGAGAUGUUACCACAAUACCUGUUAGGAUGACUAUUAUAAAAAGAAAGUAGGUAAGUGGGCUGGGCGCGGUGGCUCACCCCUGUAAUCCCAGCACUUUGGGAGGCCGAGGCGGGCGGAUCACGAGGUCAGGAGAUUGAGACCACGGUGAAACCCCGUCUCUACUAAAAAUACAAAAAUAAUUAGCCGGGCACGGUGGCAGGCGCCUGUAGUCCCAGCUACUCGGGAGGCUGA
rnacentral:lncRNA from 1 species